CCUACGGGUGGCUGCAGUGGGGAAUAUUGCACAAUGGGGGGAACCCUGAUGCAGCGACGCCGCGUGAGUGAAGACGUAUUUCGGUAUGUAAAGCUCUGUUAGUAGGGAAGUAGAAAGACGGUACCUGACCAAGAAGCCCCGGGUAACUACGUGCCAGCCGCCGCGGUAAUACGGAGGAGGCAAGCGUUAUCCGGAUUUACUGGGUGUAAAGGGAGCGUAGGCGGCUGGGCAAGGUUGGAGUGAAAGGUAGGGGCCCAACCCCGGGACUGCUCUGGAAACUGUCCGGCUAGAGUGCAGGUGAGGUAGGUGGAAUGCAUGGUGUAGCGGUGAAAUGCUUAGAGAUUAGACAGAACACCAGUGGCGAAGGCAGCUUACUAAACUGUAACUGACGUUGAGGCACGAAAGCGUGGGUAGCAAACAGGAUUAGAUACCCGGGUAGUC
rnacentral:rRNA from 1 species